CGAAUAUAACUCCAAGUUCAAGCCAGCUUACUGAGAUCAUUGAAGCAGUUGAACAUCGAUUCCAAAGAACAAUAGCCAAGCGAAUCUCAGGUGCAGAGCUUGAUAAGAGACCUGCCCACACCUGUCAUGCCACCAUUGCCAACUUCCAACAUAUCUGGAUCUGUCCACACACACACAUGGUAAGAUGGGAAUUACAGAUCAACUUAGAGAACAAAUGGAUGAAGUUGAAUGGGUUUCAAACACAAUCAAUCUCAUACCAUUCCAACCACCAGGUCCUGCAUACUCUGCCCACUUAUCAUUGAUAUCUGCAAUUCUAGUCAUGCUUCAAC